rnacentral:rRNA from 1 species
UACGGAGGGUGCAAGCGUUAUCCGGAUUCACUGGGUUUAAAGGGUGCGUAGGUGGGCAGGUAAGUCAGUGGUGAAAUCUCCGGGCUUAACCCGGAACUGCCGUUGAUACUAUUUGUCUUGAAUAUUGUGGAGGUAAGCGGAAUAUGUCAUGUAGCGGUGAAAUGCUUAGAUAUGACAUAGAACACCAAUUGUGAAGGCAGCUUACUACACAACGAUUGACGCUGAGGCACGAAAGCGUGGGGAUCAAACAGG